AGGUCAUGUUGAGGACAAUUCCUUAACAACCCCUUGUACUGCUCACAUGCCUCGUAAAAUGACUCCCCUGGUUUUUGCUCAAAAUUGGUUAUUGCCUUCUUGAGUUU